UGAAGUUGGAAUCACUAGUAAUCGCGAAUAAGUCAUGUCGUGGUGAAUGCGUUCUCGGGUCUUGUACACACCGCCCGUCAAACUAUGAGAGCCGUUAAUACCUAAAACCGUUUUGCUAACCGCAAGGAGGCGAACGUCUAGGGUAGGAAUGGUGAUUGGAGUUAAGUCGUGACAAGGUCAUCUCCUCAUUU
rnacentral:rRNA from 1 species